rnacentral:lncRNA from 10 species
CUCUGAUUGGUCCAGGCUCUUUGACGUCACGGACUCGACCUUUGACAGAGCCACUAGGCGAAAAGGAGAGACGGGAAGUAUUUUUUCCGCCCCGCCCGGAAAGGGUGGAGCACAACGUCGAAAGCAGCCAAUGGGAGCCCAGGAGGCGGGGCGCCUGUGGGAGCCGUGGAGGGCACUUUCCCAGUCCCCGAGGCGGAUCCGGUGUUGCAUCCUUGGAGAGAGCUGAGAGCUGGAGUACAGAACCUGCUAAGGCCAUCAAACCUAUUGAUCGGAAGUCAGUCCAUCAGAUUUGCUCUGGGCAGGUGGUACUGAGUCUAAGCACUGCGGUGAAGAAGAUAGUAGAAAACAGUCUGGAUGCUGGUGCCACUAAUAUUGAUCUAAAGCUUAAGGACUAUGGAAUGGAUCUCAUUGAAGUUUCAGGCAAUGGAUGUGGGGUAGAAGAAGAAAACUUUAAAGGCUUAAUCUCUUUCAGCUCUGAAACAUCACACAUCUAAGAUUCAAGAGUUUGCCGACCUAACUCGGGUUGAAACUUUUGGCUUUCGGGGGGAAGCUCUGAGCUCACUUUGUGCACUGAGUGAUGUCACCAUUUCUACCUGCCACGUAUCGGCGAAGGUUGGGACUCGACUGGUGUUUGAUCACGAUGGGAAAAUCAUCCAGAAAACCCCCUACCCCCACCCCAGAGGGACCACAGUCAGCGUGAAGCAGUUAUUUUCUACGCUACCUGUGCGCCAUAAGGAAUUUCAAAGGAAUAUUAAGAAGAAACGUGCCUGCUUCCCCUUCGCCUUCUGCCGUGAUUGUCAGUUUCUUGAGGGCUCCCCAGCCAUGCUUCCUGUACAGCCUGCAAAACUGACUCCUAGAAGUACCCCACCCCACCCCUGCUCCUUGGAGGACAACGUGAUCACUGUAUUCAGCUCUGUCAAGAAUGGUCCAGGUUCUUCUAGAUGAUCUGCACAAAUGGUUCCUCUCCUCCUUCCUGAUGUCUGCCAUUAGCAUUGGAAUAAAGUUCCUGCUGAAAAUCCACAUCUCCCCUGGGUCCGGUGUUCUGGAAGUGAGAGAGACAAUGUCACACUUCAAGGAGGCAGCUCUCUAGACAGGAAGGUUAUUCACGUCCCAUGUCAAGUCUAGCUAGAGUUCAGAGCAAUUGAGAAGUGCAAUUUUAUCUCCUGCCUUUCAUUCUAUACCCUGCUUCUGAACCAUCGUGUUCAACUGUGAAACUCACACUUUGGUGACCCUGACUCCAAAACUUAAUACACCCAAGGUCAGCCCCAGUGAUCUGCUUCAUAGCAAGGACUUUGGGUGGGUCUUCCCAGGGAGUAGGGCACCCUCAGAGAAUGUGGCUUUGGACUUCAUCACAGCUGGGGCCUUUUGUGUCACUUCAGAUCUAAACUUGUAACCGUGCUAGAUCUGUUUCUAAUGUGACAACAUCACGAACCACGAGUCCAGAAGCCUAAUCCAUAAUCCUCCCUCCUCAUGACAAAGUCUCAUGCUCUGUGCUCAACAUGGUUAGCUGCACAAGAUGUAAACCAAAGCUUCACUGAACCCUCGACCCAGAUCGGUAACUCAAGUGCAUCAAUCAUAAUGAACCUCCCCGAACUCAGUAUUUAUGAUUAUUUUUGAGGCAGGGUCUCACUCUGUCGCCUGGGCUGGAGUGCAGUGGCAGGAUCAGGGCUCCCUGCAGCCCCGACCUCCCAGGCUCCAGCGAUCCUCCCGCCUCAGCCUCCUGAGUAGUUGGGAGUAGAGAUGCCUCCCACAUCGCCUGGCUAAUUUUUGUAUUUUUGUGGAGAGGGGAUCUCGCCACGUUGCCCAGGCUUGAAGCCAGAUCAAGCAAUUGGGUUCCUUGGAUUUCCGAAAUAGACCCCAAUAUUCUGCCUUUACCCCGGAGGAUGCAGAUGUACCUUCUCUCAGGCCGAUGACCUCAGGCCUCCACGGUCCCUGGAGCUCUA